rnacentral:lncRNA from 1 species
CAUGGAUGCAAACCCUAGACCUAGGGGUAUUGGGGGAAAUUUCUCUUCAAAGGUUGAGUGGUGCCAAUCACAUUAAUUGUGAAGCCCAAUAACGAUCCUUUGAAGAAGUCACGAAUAAUGCGAGUGGGAUGCAAAUGAAUGGAAUGCAUGUAUGCAAUGUGAGAAUAUGUGAAGUGAGAAAAAUAAUAAAAAUAAUAGGAUGUAAGUGGAGGUGUGCAAAUGUAUUUACAAGUGUUUGUGUGCAAGUGAAGGGAUAAAAAGGUGCUUGUGUGCAAAUGAGACAAAAGUGAAAGUGUGAUGAUAGAGUGGAUUGAGAAUGCAUGAGCCUCGGGAAUUCAUGCAUAUUGGGUACGGGGAGACCUAAAUCGUGACUCAAUUUGCCCUUUUAUAGAGAGGAUACAAGCGUGCUAAGGCUUUAGAAAAAGCCACACUCGUCUAUAUCCCAUAUUUAAGGGGACUUUCAAGCAAAUGAACCCUAUAACUAGCAUAAAAUGCAAAAAUCCUAAAAUGGAGGGAAAAGGGUUUCGAGGGGCAUGCAAAAUGAUAAAACUAAAAAGAAUGCAUGACAUGCAAACAUGUACUAACGAGGGGAAAUCUCUAAGGGUCUAGCGUUGGACUAGCCCAUUCUAUGAAUUCCGACUAGCGUUGGACUAGUGGAAACGUACAUUCACCCAUCACAUUCAU